rnacentral:tRNA from 1 species
GCCGGUGUGGCUCAGUGGAAAGAGUGUCAGCCUGAGGACUGAAGGGUCCCGGUUCGACUCCGGUCAAGGGCA